rnacentral:rRNA from 1 species
GACAGAGGGGGCAAGCGUUGUCCGGAAUUACUGGGCGUACAGGGCACGCAGGUGGCUGCAUAGGUGGCGUGUGAAAGCCCCGCGCUUAACGCGGGGAGGCCACGCCAGACGGUGCGGCUCGAGCGAUGCAGAGGGUGGUGGAAUUGCCGGUGUAGUGGUGAAAUGCGUAGAGAUCGGCAGGAACACCAAGGACGAAGGUAACCACCUGGGCAUCAGCUGACACUCAUGUGCGACAGCGUGGGGAGCGAACCGG